AGAGUUUGAUCCUGGCUCAGAACGAACGCUGGCGGCAGGCUUAACACAUGCAAGUCGAACGCACUCUUCGGAGUGAGUGGCAGACGGGUGAGUAACGCGUGGGAACGUACCUUUCGGUUCGGAAUAACCCAGGGAAACUUGGGCUAAUACCGGAUACGCCGGAAACGGGAAAGAUUUAUCGCCGAAGGAUCGGCCCGCGUCGGAUUAGCUAGUUGGUGAGGUAACGGCUCACCAAGGCGACGAUCCGUAGCUGGUCUGAGAGGAUGAUCAGCCACACUGGGACUGAGACACGGCCCAGACUCCUACGGGAGGCAGCAGUGGGGAAUAUUGGUCAAUGGGCGCAAGCCUGAACCAGCCAUGCCGCGUGAGUGAAGAAGGCCUUAGGGUUGUAAAGCUCUUUCAGCGGGGACGAUAAUGACGGUACCCGCAGAAGAAGCCCCGGCUAACUUCGUGCCAGCAGCCGCGGUAAUACGAAGGGGGCUAGCGUUGUUCGGAAUUACUGGGCGUAAAGCGCGCGUAGGCGGGUAUUUAAGUCAGGGGGUGAAAUCCCAGGGCUCAACCCUGGAACUGCCUUUGAUACUGGAUGCCUGGAGUUCGGGAGAGGUGAGUGGAAUUCCGAGUGUAGAGGUGAAAUUCGUAGAUAUUCGGAGGAACACCAGAAGCGAAGGCGGCUCACUGGCCCGAUACUGACGCUGAGGCGCGAAAGCGUGGGGAGCAAACAGGAUUAGAUACCCUAGUAGUCC
rnacentral:rRNA from 1 species